rnacentral:rRNA from 1 species
UGUCGCGCGGUAAAACCAGCACCUCGAGUGGUCAGGAGGUUUAUAGCAUCCGUAGCCGGUUGCAUAAGUUUUCGGUUAAAUCUAUGUAUAGGCCGCCGAAAAUACUGUGCAGCUAGGGAGUGGGAGGUACUCGAUAGGAAGGGGUAAAAUCCUUUGAUCUAUUGAUGGGCGAAGGCGGUGUACCAGAACACGUUCGACGGUGAGGGAUGGGAGCAAACCGGAUUAGAUACCCGGGUAGUCCCAGCUGUAGACUCGGUGAUGCAUUGGCUUGUGGCCAAUGCAGUGCCGCAUUAAGUCUGCCGCCUGGGAAGUACGUACGCAAGUAUGAAACUUGGCGGGGGAGCACCACAAGGGGUGAAGCCUGCGGUUCAAACGCCAGAAAUCUUACCUGGGGCGACAGCAGAAUGAAGGUCACUUUACCAGACAAGCUGAGAGGUGGUGCAUGGCCGUCGCCCGUGAGAUGUCCUGUUAAGUCAGGUAACGAGCGAGACCCCUUGCUACCAUUACUCUCUGGAGUAGUGGAGCGAAUUAGACGGGUUAAUGUGGAGGAAGGAAGGGGCCACGGCAGGUCAGUAUGCCUAGGGCUACACGCGGGCUGCAAUGGUAUUGACAAUGUGUGAAAGGAGGAGGCAAUCAUUAAACGAUACCUCAGUUAUGACUAACUCGCCCUCACGAAUAUGGAAUCCCUAGUAACCGCGCGCGCGGUGAAUACGUCCGUGCUCCUUGCACACACCGCCCGUCACC